UUUAGGUGCUGUCAUUCAGAGUCCACAGGAUGGAUGAAUGGAUAUGAAAAUGAACAAACGUGUGACACAACACUGCAUGAUUUACCGGCAAUGACUUUCUGAUCAAGCCUGAAGAUCCCAAGACAACCAUGCUGUGAAGAAGUCGGUCUACCCCACUGGAGAAGGAAAGGCUGUUCAGGGAAGUGAAGAUGCCCCAGCUGACAGUCACCACCUGCCA
rnacentral:lncRNA from 10 species